UACGUAGGGGGGCAACGUUGUCCGGAUUUAUUGGGCGUAAAGAGCGUGUAGGCGGCCUUACAGGUCAGCUGUGAAAACUCGAGGCUCAACCUCGAGACGUCGGUUGAAACCGUAAGGCUAGAGUCCGGAAGAGGAGAGUGGAAUUCCCGGUGUAGCGGUGAAAUGCGCAGAUAUCGGGAAGAACACCCGUGGCGAAGGCGGCUCUCUGGGACGGUACUGACGCUGAGACGCGAAAGCGUGGGGAGCGAACAGG
rnacentral:rRNA from 1 species